UACGUAGGGUGCAAGCGUUGUCCGGAAUUAUUGGGCGUAAAGGGCUCGUAGGCGGUCUGUCGCGUCUGCUGUGAAAACUCAGGGCUUAACCCUGAGCUUGCAGUGGGUACGGGCAGACUAGAGUGCGGUAGGGGAGACUGGAAUUCCUGGUGUAGCGGUGAAAUGCGCAGAUAUCAGGAGGAACACCGGUGGCGAAGGCGGGUCUCUGGGCAGUAACUGACGCUGAGGAGCGAAAGCGUGGGGAGCGAACAGG
rnacentral:rRNA from 1 species